rnacentral:lncRNA from 1 species
CCGACACGUCAGCACGACAUAAUCUUAUAGUUAAUAAAUGAUGUGUGGGAGGGUCGUUGAGAUCGGUUUGGUUUCGUAGAAUCCGAUUGGGACCCACCACCAUUAGUUAUAGGAACUAAAAAACAAUAGACCCAAUCUGGACCGUCCAGAUUGGACAAUGAACCAAAAGAGAAAGAUGAGCCGACGAUGAUGCGUUAUUAUCAAUCUUAGCUGGUUCGAUUCGAUGCACAUGUGAACAAAGUUUUUCGGACAAUCCCAUGUACCACGUGUCAGUAGUUCUUUACAGUUUCGACAAAACAUUUAUUUUUUUGGACCACUAAUUUAAUCCCCACAAGUGUAACUUUGCAUGCAUGCAAAACUCGUUUUAUUCUUUUGUUUCUGAAAAGAAAUUUCUAAGUAAACGGUGGUAAUAUCGAUCGGAACUUACUUGUCUUUGUUCAUUGGGUAGAUAAGGAUAGGGCCACUAGUUUUAUUCCCCAAAAUGCCCUUGAAAACGCCUUUGUCAAAAUCAGAGAUUCUUGAUUUUGGUACGAAUAGGUUGAGCCAUGGGUGUGGAACCUCCCAUAAAUUCUUCGACCGGAGCUUCAGCUCCGCCUUGUGAACCCGGUCCAGGAAAUCCACAUAUUGCAAAUCGGUCCAUUUGAGUAAAGAUAUACUUAAGACUCUGGUGAUCUGUGAGGAUCUGAACUUUCUCCCCAUAUAGAUAUGACCUCCAUAUUUUUAGCGCAAAAACAACUGCUGCUAACUCCAAAUCAUGGGUGGGGUAGUUGACCUCGUGAGGCCUCAACUGACGUGAUGCAUAAGCGAUAACAUGACCAUCCUGCAUCAAUACACAACCCAAACCAGUACCUGACGCAUCUGUGUAAACGUCAUAUGGUAUCCCUGGCCUCGGCAGUACCAAAACUGGCGUGUCUGUGAGUUGUCGCUUCAAUUCUGUGAGACUCUUCGAGCACUCAUCUGUCCACACAAACUUAACAUCUUUGCCUGUCAACUGAGUCAUCGGUUUGGCGAUACUAGCAAAUCCCUUGACGAAUUUCCUGUAAUAACCUGCUAAACCCAGAAAACUACGGAUCUCUGUAGCACUCUUAGGUGUCGGCCACUCUGUAAUUGCGACAAUCUUCUCUGGAUCUACAGCAACUCCUGCCUCAGAAACCACAUGACCCAAAAAUCCAAUCUUUCUCUGCCAGAAGCUACACUUACUCAGCUUAGCAAAUAGUUGAUGCUCUCUGAGCUUCUCCAACACAAUCCGUAAAUGCUCAGCAUGCUCUUCCCUACUCCGAGAAUAAAUCAGAAUAUCGUCGAUGAAGACGAUCACGCACUUAACCAAGUACUCGCGAAAAACAUCAUUCAUAAGUUUCAUGAACGCUGCAGGUGCAUUCGUCAACCCAAAUGGCAUCACCACAAACUCGUAAUGUCCAUAACGUGUGCGGAAAGCCGUCUUCCGUACAUCCUCCCCUGCUAUCGCAAUCUGGUGAUAACCUGAUGCCAAGUCAAUCUUAGAAAACCAUGAGGCUCCCUGUAACUGAUCCAACAACUCAUCAAUACGCGGAAGUGGAUACUUAUUCUUGAUGGUCACCUUGUUCAAACCUCUGUAAUCAAUACAAAGCCUGAAACUCCCAUCUUUCUUCUUCACAAACAGUACUGGUGCUCCCCACGGUGAAGUACUGGGUCUGAUGAAACCCUUACCCAAUAGCUCCUCCAACUGUCUUUUAGUUCAGCCAUCUCUGCUGGCGCUAGUCGGUACGGGGCCCGUGAAACCGGUGCUGUCCCUGGUUCCAACUCAAUAGUGAGAGCAUCUCUUCUCGCUGGUGGUGGUCCCUUUAAGGCCUCAAAUACAUCCUCGAACUCCUCAACCACCGGAAUGUCCUGCAACUCGUGAUGUCCGUCGUUCUUAACCAUCGAAAUAGUCGCCAGAAACCCCUCUGCUCCUCUCAUUUUUUAUAAAAUAUGUGCUCAAUUUGUUGUUCCACAAAAGCUGAACCUUCCCCUUUCGCUUGGUUGCAGCAACGACCGACCGAUAAUGACAGAUAUGUGCAGAAUUGUAAGAACGGAAGAUCUCCAAAGGAGACGAGAUGGUGGUUCCACGAUGAUAAAGUAUAAACCAUCCAUCCAUCAAAACCAUAAAUGUAUAAUAAUCCAAAACAGUCAUGAGGUUUGUUUGUUGUCUAAUUUUAAUUUAAUAAUCGGGUUUAAAGCUUCGCUAGACCCAUAUCAAAAUCCGUGAUGAUGUAGAAAAUUUAAACAGUAACAUAUUACUAACUUGAAUCUUCCUAACUCUAAUUUUUAAACGAUACGAACAAAAUACGCCAACCUAAUCUCUCUCUGAUGCUUCUCUAUUAGGACAUAUAUAUACAUCAGGAAGAAUAUAAUCUCAACUACUACUUUCCCCCUCUGAUUCUGUCCUGUCACCAUGAAGCUGACGAUGAAGACGGCGAUGGAGGAAACAAAGCCAGAGAUGGGUUUUGAAAGAUUUUCUGACCGGUAGCGAGUAUAUGCCGUGGAUCGAACUCAGCCUUCAUGCUUCUAAACUGAUCCCAUCUGUCUCCAUAAUGAUCCACCCACUCCUCUUGCGUUGCAUGGUGAGGAAGGUACUGCUUCACAUUGAUCUUGGCUUGUUCACAGAACUCCAAGAUCCGACGGUUCUGAUCUUUCAAAUACUCUAGCUUCUGCGUUUCCUCACCAUCCGAUAAAGCUGAUCUCAAUAGAGCCACCAGGUAGAAAACUUCCUCGUCCGGUGUAACGGCCGAGCUUCUUUCGUCCCAUCUGGCAUUACAAAAAAUCCGACACGUCAGCACGACAUAAUCUUAUAGUUAAUAAAUGAUGUGAGGGAGGGUCGUUGAGAUCGGUUUGGUUUCGUAGAAUCCGAUUGGGACCCACCACCAUUAGUUAUAGGAACUAAAAAACAAUAGACCCAAUCUGGACCGUCCAGAUUGGACAAUGAACCAAAAGAGAAAGAUGAGCCGACGAUGAUGCGUUAUUAUCAAUCUUAGCUGGUUCGAUUCGAUGCACAUGUGAACAAAGUUUUUCGGACAAUCCCAUGUACCACGUGUCAGUAGUUCUUUACAGUUUCGACAAAACAUUUAUUUUUUUGGACCACUAAUUUAAUCCCCACAAGUGUAACUUUGCAUGCAUGCAAAACUCGUUUUAUUCUUUUGUUUCUGAAAAGAAAUUUCUAAGUAAACGGUGGUAAUAUCGAUCGGAACUUACUUGUCUUUGUUCAUUGGGUAGAUAAGGAUAGGGCCACUAGUUUUAUUCCCCAAAAUGCCCUUGAAAACGCCUUUGUCAAAAUCAGAGAUUCUUGAUUUUGGUACGAAUAGGUUGAGCCAUGGGUGUGGAACCUCCCAUAAAUUCUUCGACCGGAGCUUCAGCUCCGCCUUGUGAACCCGGUCCAGGAAAUCCACAUAUUGCAAAUCUGUCGUGAAUACCGAUGUCGGUAUAAAAUUUAAUUCCUUCAUCAAAAUCUCUAC